rnacentral:tRNA from 1 species
GCGCCCGUAGCUCAACAGGAUAGAGCACCGGCCUUCUAAGCCGGUGGUUGCAGGUUCGAUUCCUGCCGGGCGCGCCA